UUGGUCCUGGCCUUGCUGUCAACUUUAGCUAGACUUACACAUGCAAGUUUCUGCCCCCCCGUGAGAAUGCCCUACAGUUUCUUUAGUAGAAUCAAGGAGCAGGUAUCAGGCACACUACUAGUAGCCCAUAACACCUUGCUUAGCCACACCCCCAAGGGACCACAGCAGUGAUAGAUAUUAAGCAAUAAGUGAAAACUUGACUUAGUUAAAGCUCAUUAGGGCCGGUAAAACUCGUGCCAGCCACCGCGGUUAUACGAGAGGCCCAAGCUGACAGCCUCUCGGCGUAAAGAGUGGUUAAAUAAGUAAUGAACUAAAGCCGAAUGUUCUCUUAACUGUCAUACGCCUUCGAGAAUUGGAAGCCCCCUUACGAAAGUAGCUUUAUAUUAUUGAAUCCACGAAAGCUAAGACACAAACUGGGAUUAGAUACCCCACUAUGCUUAGCCUUAAACUUAGUUAGUAUAUUACAUACACACCCGCCUGGGAACUACGAGCAUUAGCUUAAAACCCAAAGGACUUGGCGGUGCUUAACACCCCCCUAGAGGAGCCUGUUCUAGAACCGAUAACCCUCGUUAAACCUCACCCUUUCUUGCCUAUUCCGCCUAUAUACCGCCGUCGUCAGCUUACCCUGUGAAGGUCUUAUAGUAAGCAUAAUUGGUUUAUACCCAAAACGUCAGGUCGAGGUGUAGCAAAUGAAAGGGAAAGAAAUGGGCUACAUUUCCUGGCCACAGGAUACACGGAAAAUACUAUGAAAAGAGUAUUAGAAGGAGGAUUUAGAAGUAAGAGGGAAACAGAGUGUCCCCCUGAAACAGGCUCUUAAGCGCGUACACACCGCCCGUCACUCUCCCCAAGCAACAUUAACACAUAAUUAAUUAUACUUUAUAGCAAAGGGGAGGCAAGUCGUAACAUGGUAAGUGUACCGGAAGGUGCACUUGGUUUAAC
rnacentral:ncRNA from 1 species